rnacentral:rRNA from 1 species
AGUGAACGCUGGCGGCGUGCUUAAUACAUGCAAGUCGAACGAUGAAGUCCUAGCUUGCUAGGAUGGAUUAGUGGCGCACGGGUGAGUAAUAUAUAGUUAAUCUGCCUUGCACUGAGGAACAACAGUUGGAAACGAUUGCUAAUACCUCAUACUCCAACUUUACAUAAGUUAAGUUGGGAAAGUCUUUUCGGUGCAAGAUGAGACUAUAUCGUAUCAGCUAGUUGGUAAGGUAAUGGCUUACCAAGGCUAUGACGCGUAACUGGUCUGAGAGGAUGAUCAGUCACAUUGGAACUGAGACACGGUACAAACUCCUACGGGAGGCAGCAGUAAGGAAUAUUGUGCAAUGGGGGAAACCAUGACGCAGCAACGCCGCGUGGAGGAUGACACUUUUCGGAGCGUAAACUCCUUUUGUUAGGGAAGAAUAAUGACGGUACCUAACGAAUAAGCACCGGCUAACUCCGUG